rnacentral:rRNA from 1 species
AUUGAACGCUGGCGGCAGGCCUAACACAUGCAAGUCGAGCGAGCGGCGGACGGGUGAGUAAUGUCUGUGAGACUGCCUGCUGGAGGGGGAUAACUCCUGGAAACGGUAGCUAAUACCGCAUACCCUCGGAUGUGCCCCGAUGGGGUGAGCUAGUAGGUGGGGUAACGGCUCACCUCGGCGACGAUCCCUAGCUGGUCUGAGAGGAUGAGCAGCCACACUGGAACUGAGACACGGUCCAGACUCCUACGGGAGGCAGCAGUGGGGAAUAUUGCACAAUGGGCGCAAGCCUGAUGCAGCCAUGCCGCGUGUAUGAAGAAGGCCUUCGGGUUGUAAAGUACUUUCAGCGGGGAGGCGUUACCCGCAGAAGAAGCACCGGCUAACUCCGUGCCAGCAGCCGCGGUAAUUC